CAAAACUUUAGCUGAACUUGUUGUGAAACAGUAACAGUAAGAGAUAGUUAAUAUAUAAUUGUGACAUACUAACUGUGUAUUUAUUGCUCUUUUGAUGAUCAGCUGUGAAUAGUUGUGGUCUGGAGAUCUGGGCUGUCGUCAGAAGCCACCAAAUCCCAUCAAGUUCUGCAACCAACUUACUUGAGUUAAUUGAAGAAACUGAGAGGAGAACAGUUAACUCACAUCAAGUCUGGAUUUGCUCUGGGUGAUUUACCAGUCCCUAAGGGAGCCAGAGCCAGGAUCUGGAGCUGACACCCUAUAUGGAGCAGGAGAUGCUUCGAGCAGCCAGCACGAAUUUGAGACAAACACUACUAUUUUUUAGGUUUUGUCCUGAAUUAUUCAACAAUAGCUUUCCAACACAAAAUACUCCUGCCAGGACAGGCAAUUACCUACUGAAGUGUUCUCCUGUCUUCUGUUUUGUGUUCUGAAAUGGUUCUUCAAGUUUCCACUCACUAAGAAUGUGACCAAAAUAGCCUUCUUGCAGGUCUUUCACAGAACAGAUGAUGUUUAAUUGUGAAAUUUGAUUUGUUACGCAGUGGGUUGUUGUAAAAUUAUCAUGAGCAAAUGCAGUAUUAUGCAUUAUUA
rnacentral:lncRNA from 1 species